UUAGCUGUGUAGAUCGAGUACGGAAAAGUAAAUAGCUAUAAAAUGAUGGUACUAGACAACCUGUCUUUCAAUUAUUGUGGGCCUGUGGGGGGAACAAGCCUGAAAAUUUGAUGAGGAUAAAGCUUGUCUUUUGAAAAAUCCUAAACAUUCACACCUAAAAAACUUACUCCCUUAUUGAUUCGUUUGCAUUUCCUUGCAUUCCUCAAAAACACAAUUAACCCAGAAGAGAGAAGAGUGAGAGAGAGAUGGAUGUAGCAGGAGGGCUUUCACUGGUGCAAACCAUCCUUCAAUUGCUGGACUCUGCUGUUUGGAAGGAAACUCGAUCUGUAUUGGGUGUGAAGUCCCAGCUUCAUAAACUCAAGAAGACUAUGUCCACCAUCGAUUCCAUCCUACGUGAAGCUGAAGAACAAGAGCGGCUGCACCACAGUCAUUCCAGCUACCCUGAGCGUGACAGACUUGAGAGGCUUAAGGAAGCUCUUUACCAAGCCGAUGACUUGUUUGACGAGGUUACCACUCUUGCUCAUCGCAAGCAGCUCAUGCCUGGCAACAACUUGAGUAAAGAGGUAUCCCUUUUCUUCUCUCGCUUUAAUCAGCUUCGUUCUGCUUUCAUUUGGUCUCGGGAGAUCAAAAGCAUCAGGGAAAGGUUGGAUGAUGUUGUCAAAGAUCAUCAGCUUGCUGUUGGGUUUAGACACCCGGUUGUUCUCAAGGAUAGCACGAGGGAAACUCACUCAUAUGUGAAUCUGGAGAAUCUGGAGAAUGAUGUGAUUAUUGGGAGGGAUGAUGAUAAGAGGUUUUUGAUUGAUAUGUUACUAGACACUACUGUUGAGGGGAAUGUUUCUGUUGUCAGCAUUGUUGGGAUUGGAGGGUUGGGUAAAACUACUCUUGCCCAACUUGUCUAUAGUGAUGACAAGAUUAAGAAAGAAUUUCCAUUGAAGAUGUGGGUUUGUGUCUCUGAUAAUUUCAAUGUCAAAGCACUUGCUGGUCAAAUUCUUGCAGCUGCCACCAACCAGGCUAAUCAAAGUGAUGGCCUAAGUAUGGACCAGCUUCAGAUAAAGCUUAGAGAAGGAAUUGAUAGGAACAAGUAUCUACUUGUUCUGGAUGAUGUUUGGAAUGAGAAUUCUGAAGAAUGGAGGACAAUGAAAAAUUUGUUGGUUGGAGGUGGGAAGGGUAGCAGAAUUUUGGUGACUACGCGCUGUAAAAAGGUAGCUGUUGUUGUGGGAAGUUGUUGGACUCAUGAAUUGAAGGGUCUCUCAGACGAACACUCUUGGAAUUUGUUUCAAAGAAUGACGCUUGAAUCGGGGCAACAUCAAAUAGAGGCAAACUUGGUUGAUAUAGGAAAAGAGAUUGUUCGAAAGUGUGCAAAUGUUCCACUUGCCAUUAGGGUGGUCGGAAGUCUUCUUCGAGGUCAGGAGGAAAGUAAGUGGGAGAAUUUGAAAAAUACUGAUUUGGCAAACAUUGUACAAGAUGAGAGCAAUGGCAUAAUACCUGUGUUGAAGAUCAGUUACAAUUAUCUUCCGUUCCAUUUGAAGAGUUGCUUCAGUUAUUGUGCAGUAUUCCCAAAGGAUUACGAGAUUAUCAAGGAGGAUUUGAUUUGUCUUUGGAUGGCUCAAGGCUUCAUUAUGCCGUCAGAUGCAGAGAGUUUUGAAGAUGUUGGGGAGGAGUAUUUCAAGCAGUUAUUGCAAAGGUGCUUCUUUCAAGAUGUAGAACGGGCAGAAGGUACUAAGGAAAUUAUAUCAUGCAAAAUGCAUGAUCUAAUUCAUGAUCUUGCCAAAGAAGUAGCAGGGACAGACAUAUUGUCGUGCACCUAUAGUACACGAUGUUUUAACGAGAAAACUCGCCAUGUAUUCAUUGAUCGAAGUACCCCUAAAGAUGUUGUUGGUAAGUUGAGCAAUAUGCAAAGGAUGCGUACAUUUCUGGGUACAGAGGUUCGUUAUUUCUCUUUAAAACCAUUUGUGGGGGGUGUAUCAAAUUUAAAAUAUUUAAGGGUAUUACGUUUAAAUGAUUGUGAUGGAUUGAAAAAGUUGCCGAGCGGGAUAGGUGAAUUGGUGCAUCUAAGGUAUCUUGACCUUUCAUAUAAUGGGGAUCUAUGUGUAUUGCCCUCAUCCAUUACCAAGCUUUAUAGCUUGCAAACAUUAAAGUUGUGUGGGUGUAUGGAUCUAAAAAGGUUGCCAAGGGAGUUGAGGAAAUUAGUUAAUCUUAGGCACCUUGAUAUUUCUGGUUGCUGGAGUUUAACUUGUAUGCCUCCUGGGAUGAACAGCAUGGCAUCUCUGCGAAACUUGACAGGGUUUGUAGUUAGUGGAAGUGCAACAAGCGAUGCAGUUUUGGGUUGUGUUUCUGGUCAGCUUGAAGAUUUGGAUGAUUUCACCAAUUACACUCACACUAUGGAGAUUGUAGUUAAAAGAGACGUGAGAUACGAUGCAGUAGGAGGGGGAAUGCUAUUCAAAAGUCCAAAAUUGUGGGAAGUUAUGUACAAUUGGGUAACAGAGGAGAAUACUAAUGCAGAAGUAUUGCUGCAAGGCCUACAACCCCACUCGAACCUUAGACAGUUAAGGUUGUGGUGUUAUCCAGGAGCGGGGCUCCCAACCUGGAUGAUGACUCUCAGUUGUUGUCUCCCAAAUCUUGUUCAAAUUGAGAUUCGUGAUUGUAAAAGGUUGGAGCAUCUUCCGUUGAUGAGUAAACUGCGUCAUUUGAAAGUCCUUAAAUUAAAAGGUUUGAGUGAAGUGGAGUAUAUGGAGAGUAGUAGUAUUAAUAGUGGAGAUGAUGAUGAGUUGGUAUUCUUUCCAUCCCUUGAAACGCUGGAGCUUUGGGGUAUGCCAAAGUUGAAGGGAUGGUGGAAGUCAUCAUCAGAAUCAGAGGAGAGUGAGACACCGCAAGCACCAAAACUUUCUCGUCUUGAUAUAAGUGGAUGUCCAGAAUUGACAACAUUUCCUUUGUGUCCGGAACUGCAAGAAUUGGAAUUAAAAGGUUUUAAUGAAGCGCUGGGCCCAAUAAUGAGGGAGAGUGCUCAUGGUUUGUCGGUUUCUAAUAAUAAUCAUAAAGAGGAUCAAGGCCGGCAGGGAAGAUUGAGGAAAGUGACGACAGAUAACGUGGGAUAUUUAACUUCUCUUCCCAUCCACUAUCUUUCGAAUCUCUGUAUUACAUUUGAACAGAAGGAAUUGAAAACAGGAGAGGUGGGUGAGGUGUUCCGAAGCGGCCGCCUGUCCUCUCUUCGCUCCCUUCAAAUUAGCUUCUGCCAUAACUUGAAGAGUAUAUCAGGACGAGGAGUGUGGGACCAAUUCACUGCCUUGGAGACUUUAACAUUGUAUUACCUUCCUGGGUUGGAAUUGGAGGAUGAAGAUGAUGUCAGCAACAACAAAAGCACAGAAGAAGGAAGUGACGCAGAGAUGCCAUGGAGAUACCUUGCUCCCACUCUCCGUUCCUUGGAAUUAUCGGGACUGGAUGCCAUGGUGAAGCUGCCAAAGGGGAUUGGAUGCUUAUCAUCUCUCCAUUCCCUUAAUAUUAUGUAUUGUCCAAAAUUGAAAACAAUGCCAAAAGAGAUGCGCCACCUCACCUCGUUAACCGAACUUCAUAUAUGGGAAUGUAGCCCAGAAUUAAUGAAGGAAUGCAAGAACAAGAAUGGUGCUAACUGGUCCAAUAUCCAACAUAUCCCCAACAUUAAACUAGAUUUCUUCUAAAAUCAGCGCCCGAAAGAAUUCAUUUACUCAAUGUUCGUUUAUAUAUAACUCCACUGGUCAAAGAAUAGGAGUUUUGCCGAAUUUCUACUAAACCAGGAUUGUUGCUUAAAUUGCAAUCAAAGAGUAGCUUAAAUGGGAUGAGAGCAUAACAAGGGAAGGAUGAUUCUUGGAUUCCAAGCACUGGGAUCUCCAGUUUGUGAGAUUCGAUGCUGCUAGUUCUAGCACUGCAGCUCUACCAUUGAUCCACUUAUCUAGUAUCUAUUUCACAUGGGCUGAAAGGUUUCAGAGCAGGGAAGGAGAAGGUUAGCUGAUGAAGAAUUCCUGAAGAAAUGGCCACUUAAUCAAGCUUCAGGUUCUCAUUGUUCUAUAAGAUGCUUUUAUCUGGGUCAUCAGGCAUGGGUAAGUUGACUAAUCUUCGGGUGCUACCAUUGUUUGUGGUGGGUAUGGAAAGGAGAGUUUCUACAGAGGAGCGAUGUAUGGGAGACCUGAAAGACCUAAAACCCCUGACCAACUUAAUAGGUGGCAUAGAGAUCAAAAUCGGCAAAAACUACAUGAAUGAUGAUGGAGGAGGAGGGUAUUUGAAGGGUAUGAAACAUCUCACUGAGGUUGAAAUUCUAUAUUCUUAUGAAAAUGAUGGAUGUGUAGAGUGGGAAGGGGUGAUGGAAAAGCUAGAACCACCUUCGAAUCUCAAGAAAUUUGUCUUGAGGUAUUACAAGGGUACUAAAAUUCCAAGUUGGGGUAGAGCACAGGAUAAUUGGGCUAUUUCUUUCCAGUCAAUGAACUCCACAUAUUUUGUAAUGAGAAGGUGGAGAGUUUAUCAGAAUAUGGGGAUGUAUUCCGGAAAUACAAAUACACUUCUUACCUAAGAAGCCUUCGAAUUUCUGGUUGCCCAAAAUUUGAGGAGACUUGGAAGAGGGGGGUUGGAGCAUCUCACUGCCUUGGAGUCAUUAGGGUUUGAAAACAAUCAUCAACUUAGCUUCUCUGAAGACGAGGUCGAUGAUGAUGGCAUGCCAUGGAAAUCCCUUCAACAAUGUCUCCGUUCCCUGUCUAUUAAAUAUUGCCAGGCCAUUACAUCACUUCCUGAAUCAAUGCAGAACCUCGCCUCCCUUCAGAACCUUGAGAUAGUUAAGUGUCCAGAACUAGAAGAAAGAUGCAAAGAACCAGAUGGGGAGGACUGGCCCAAGAUUCAACGCAUCCCCCACAGAAUAAUUGGUGAAGGCGUAAAUUAUUUUUUUCAUGAAGCAUGAAGUUGAUAUCAAACUUUCAUUAUCAUAAUUCAUAAUUAAAAGGUACUUGUUAAUGUGCUUCAGAUUGUACUCAUGUGAAAGCUGCUAAGAGCGUCACUUCAUUGGAUGAACAUGAUGUGGAGGAGUUAACCAAUUCUCAAGUCUCUCUGACUAUUUGGAACCAACAGCUAGCAAGCGCCUAUUUUAUCUGUUGAAUGUUGAUUCAGAUUUACGAUGUAGCUAUGGACGGUCUGCAGGAAGCUGCUGUGGGAUUUGACGUGGAGGACUGCAAGACUUGGCUUGACAGAGUGAAUUGCAAAAAUAUCUUUCAAGAACGUAUUUGACUCAGGAUCAUGUAAAUACUUCAUAGUCUUUCAAAUAAUGUAUUGUGAAAGAAAAAUAUACAGACGACUCUUUUAGACAUGUAAGCACGGCAAUGCAACAUUUAGUAUUGUUUGUAUCUCAAUUUUCUCCUUAACAGAGUAGAGUAUCACUGAAUGAAAAACCGUGAAUUUAUAUAAUAGUGAGAUUAUU